AUUGAACGCUGGCGGCAGGCUUAACACAUGCAAGUCGAGCGGGGUGAUCGUGCUUGCACUAUCACUUAGCGGCGGAAGGGUGAGUAAUGCUUAGGAAUCUGCCUAUUAGUGGGGGACAACAUCUCUAAAGGGAUGCUAAUACUGCAUACGUCCUACGGGAGAAAGCAGGGGAUCACUUGUGACCUUGCGCUAAUAGAUGAGCCUAAGUCGGAUUAGGAAGUUGGUGGGGUAAAGGACUACCAAGGCGACGAUCUGUAGCGGGUCUGUGAGGAUGAUCCGACACACUGGGACUGGGACACGGGCCAGGCUCCUACGGGAGGCAGCAGUGGGGAAUAUUGGACAAUGGGGGGAACCCUGAUCCAGCCAUGCCGCGUGUGUGAAGAAGGCCUUAUGGUUGUAAAGCACUUUAAGCGAGGAGGAGGCUCUUUUGGUUAAUACCCAAGAUGAGUGGACGUUACUCGCAGAAUAAGCACCGGCUAACUCUGUGCCAGCCGCCGCCGUAA
rnacentral:rRNA from 1 species